rnacentral:rRNA from 1 species
UACGUAGGGGGCUAGCGUUGUCCGGAAUCAUUGGGCGUAAAGAGCGUGUAGGCGGCCCGGUAAGUCCGCUGUAAAAGUCCAGGGCUCAACCCUGGAAAGCCGGUGGAUACUGUCGGGCUAGAGUCCGGAAGAGGAGAGUGGAAUUCCUGGUGUAGCGGUGAAAUGCGCAGAUAUCAGGAAGAACACCCGUGGCUAAGGCGGCUCUCUAGUACGGUACUGACGCUGAGACGCGAAAGCGUGGGGAGCGAACAGG